rnacentral:lncRNA from 1 species
GCAAAACAGAGAAGACUCACUCCUCUGUGGGAGGCCACAGCCCAAAUGAUUGCUGGCUUCUUCAAGGGCUGGAGCAGGGCUUGCAGGGGAUUGCUGGCCUUCAGUGUGUGAGGUCUUUGGCCUUUUUCUACGUGAACAUCAAGGUUAAUCUAUGUGGACUUGGCCUUCUGUUGGAGCAAGUUAUUGCAAUGCUGUUGGAGGAGCAUGAGGUUCUUAGCACUUCUUAGCUUCAGAUAUCAAGGGAGAUUCUUGUCCAACAACAACAGAAAAUAGAGCCCAGCCAUUUUUGUCAUCAAGAUUGCCAGGGUCGCAUGAUCUCAAUGGCAAUGCUCACACUUGCUAGAAAUUUGGAUUCAUAAGCUUUUGAGUUAAACAGGGUCUGAGAAUCCUUAAAGCUAACUCCUCUCUGUUUCAGAGGUGCAAACUGCUAAUGAGAAAGAUGCCAAUCUGGUUCUUAUUCUUUUUUUUUUUUUUUUUUGAGAUGGAGUCUUUGUUGUCCAGGCUGGAAUGCAGUGGUGUGAUCUCAUCUCACUGCAACCUCCACCUCCUGGGUUCAAGUGAUUCUCCUGCCUCAGCCUCUGGAGUAGUUGGGAUUACAGGUGCCUGCCUCCACACCCAGCUAACUUUUGUAUUUUUAAUAGGACGGGGUUUUGUCAUGUUGGCCAAGCUGGUCUCAAACUCCUGACUUCAAGUCAUCUACCUGCCUUGGCCUCCCAAAGUUGGUUCUUAUUCUUUUGUUGUUUAUUUGUUUCUUGUUUCUCUCUGAGAGUGUUUAGGAUCUCCUUAGAUUGUUGGUGCUCUGAAAUUCCAAGAGGUUAUUUCUAUGGAUCACUCUUUGUUCAUUGUGCUCAGUGCUUGGGGUCUUUCAAUCCAAAGCUUAUAUCUUUCUUCAACUCCGGGAGAUUUUUUUCAAUUGUUUCUUUGAUAAUUUUCUGCUUUCUGUUUUCCUUCUUCUCCUUUUCUGAAAUUCCUGCAAUGUAAAUGUUGAGCCACCUAAAUUGACCCUAUGUAUUUUUUUUCUCCAAUUACCCAUUUUAUUUUGGUCAUUUUACUCUGUAUUCUGCAAGUUCUUCUUGAAUUUUUAAUGUAUUUUUUCUGUCUUUGACUUUUGGUUUCAAAAAAAUUGAAUGUAUUAUAUUUGUGAUAAUAAAAAGUAAAUAUAUUUUAAAAGGGAUUUAGAACAAACUCUUGGUUUUCAACUGCUCCUUUUUAAUAGAAGAUUUUUUUUUUUUUUUUUUUUUUUGACAGAGUCUCGGUCUGUCACCAGGCUGGAGUGCAGUGGCGUGACCUGGGCUCACUGCAACUUUUGCCUCCCGGGUUCAAGCAAUUCUCCUGCCUCAGCCUCCUGAGUAGCUGGGAUUACAGGUGCCCACCACCAUGCCCAGAUAAUUUUUGUAUUUUUAGUAGAGACGAGGUUUCACCAUGUUGGCCAGAAUGGUCUCAAUCUCUUGACCUCGUGAUCCACCUGCCUUGGCCUCCCAAAGUGUGGGUUUUGUUUUACGGACGUAUCAUCUUGGUUCUCCAAGAGGAUAAUUAGAGUUUAAGGUUUUUACUUAGUUCUUUUUCCUUUCCUUGUUCUACCUCCUCCAAGUUCAUUUGUUCUGUUGACUUAUCUUGGUCCUUUUCUUUUCCUGAGUGAAUGGUGUUUGUGGCAGCUCAUUUCUAUUUAUGCAUUCUAGGUUGGGUUGUUAAGUUGAAGUAAAUGGGGGACUGGGGUCCUUCUGCGAAUGAGAAGGUGUGACUGUGAGCUCUCUGGCUGUGGAAGGGGGUGCUGAUGGGUAAAUCUUGCUUUCUUCUGUGAGAGUGGGAGAAGUCAAACCAAUUCAAGGAGACCCCUGCUCUAAGAUGUUACUCCCAUGUUGGAAGCCUCAGCCCCUUCCAGUCAGCUUUUAUUUGCUUUUUAAAAAGAUUAUUUCUCAAGGGUGCAAGGGUGGUAAGGGAUAAAAGACUAAACACUGGGCACAGUGUACUGCUUGGGUGACAGGUGCAGCAAAAUCUCAGAAAUUACUACUAAAGAAUCUAUCCCUGUAACCACCUGUUCCCCGAAAACUAUUGAAAUAAAAUAAAAAUAAAAAAGGAUUAUUUUUCCAGCUUUUAAGGUAAAAGCUGCCAUUUUCUGCCCAUGGGAUUAGGGAGAGGUGGGAUGGUGAAGGCCAGUUUCCACAGCAGUUUAGGUCCAGUCAUUCCAUCAAUCACUUCCUUUUAUGCUCACCCUGGUCUUUGUACUUUCCAACCUCCAGAGGCUCUAACGUGAAGGACAUCACCCCCUGCCACUGCCCUCACCAAUAACUUCCACUUUUAUUGCAACCCCAAAAUGUGUUCUGAGCAUCUAGGAAGCUAGAAAUCAGCCUUCCUCAUCAACUUCCUUAAAAUUGGGGAUUUAAGUAAUACUUUUUAGAAUCUGUCCACUCAGCUUCCAGGCCACAUCCCUCUGACCCAGCUCCACCCCAUUUCCAUCCUUAUUGUUUCUGGGGGAAGCCACUUGAUGAUGCCAAGUAUUUUCCAGUUCUGCUUUUGACCGCACUUUGCAAAGUAGUGUAUGGUAUGAUGCUUGUUCCUUCCUUGGUUUGGAAGACUUUUGCCUGUUUUCUCAAAAACAAAUGAACAAAAAUCUCUGGUGUUUUUUGGAUUUGGUGGGAGGGAGAAUUUUGAAUCUGCUUCAAGUCCCACAUCUUUCUCUGCCACCUCACACGAUUAAUAUCAAGAAGCACAGACAACUCUCAUUUAUUUCCCACUUUCAGUGAAAAAGAAAAAGCACCAACCUUGCUUGUUUUGGUUCCAUUUUGGUUUGUUCUGUUUGUUUUUAAUAGCUGUUCACAUGAAUGUAUUAACCUGGAUGGGAUCUUGAUUUGACCUAGAGUCAUACUAGGUGGCUGAGAGGACACUAGUCAGCUUCCUCUCAACUAUGAGAUGACCUAGUGGUCAGCCUUCAGGGUCUGGAUUUUCCUCAGGAGGGUCCUUGCUAAAAGUGGCAGAGUCCAUUUUCAGUCCAAGACAGAAUGAGAUGAAAGAGAGAAUCAAGGAUGUGGACCUGAUUGCCUGGAGACCUGUGUUCUAGUCCCACCUGGCCUUCUUAUCAACUGUGCAGGCUGGGGCAAGUGGUAGCCUCUCCCCAGCUUCAUUUUCCUCCUCUGUAAAAUAGUUGGGUGGGUCCUGAUGUCUCCCAGAUCGCUUUUACUUUCUAAAACUCCAUGAUUCCUUAUAAAGUAGGCUUCUAAAGAGCAAGUAAGGGCAGGAGAGGAUGUGAAGGGGAAGAAUAAUUAAUAUCCACAUUCAGCCCUAAUUUGGUUAGUAUGGUUUCAUUAAUAAUGGAAAUAACAACAAUUGCCAUUGAUGAAGACUAUUUAUGUUUCUGUUUCAGAAACAAUAUCUGCUCUUGGAGUCACUGCCACCAAGGGAAUAACUUUACCUGGAAUAUGGACUGGGAGCUCAAGCCAAAAGCAUGGACAAGGGAGUCCCAGAUUACAGGAUACUAUUAUGACUUUUGCAUAAAUAUAAACUCCUAUUAGAUAAAUUGAUAAGAUGUGCUCUGGUUAGCUAUUGCUGUGUAACAAACCACCCCAAACAGUGGUUUAAAGCAAUGACAUUCUAGGGUUGGCUGGGCUCAGCCAGGUGGUUCUUAUGUGGUCUAUCAUUAAGGUGCAAAAAGAUAGUGGCUGGGUUAGGGCCAUUCUGAAGAGUUAUUCACUCACAGGUCUAGAACCUGGGCUGAAGGACUCAAACAGCUGGAGGAUCUAUCUAUCUAUCUAUCUAUCUAUCUAUCUAUCUAUCUAUCUAUCAUCUUCUAUCUAUCUAUCUAUCAUUAUCUUUCAAUCUCCUCCAUAUGAUCUCUCCCCAAAGUGGCUCCAGGGUAACCAGACUUCUUACAUGACAGCUGGAGCCUUGGAGUAAGUUUCCUAAAGAGACACUGGUAGAAGCUGCAUGAUCUUUUCUAAUCUGACUUCAGAAGUCACACUUCUACUACAUUCUGUUCAUUAAUGCAGCCACAAGGGCCCGCCCAAGUUCAAGAGGUGAGGAUACUGACUCUGUCUCUUAAUGUGCAGAGUGUCAAAUAAUUUACAAGCACGUUUCAAAAACCACCAGAAGUUGCAAGAAUGAAUCAGUUAGUGUUGAUGAAUAUCAAUAUAAUAUAGUUACAAAAUGAAUUAUUGCAAGAUUUAAAAUUUGCAAACUCUGAUAGUCACCUAGUGACCAUCUCACCAAGCAUUUCUAGAGGUGCCCACCACUUGAUUUCCAGCCUAGGUGCUGCCCUGGCCUAAGCAGAGACCCCAGUUAUACAUUGGAGUAGGCAAUGGAGAGUCAAGAUGACCUGAUUCUGUCAUGCUGAGUCAUAUGACCUUUGAUAUAUCACUUUAACUUACUGGGCCUCAUGUUUCUCCUGCAUAGUGGAGAUACUAGCCUUGCCUUACCUAUGUUGAAGAAUUGUGAUGAGACUCAAAUAAGAAUGUACUUUAUAACUGCAAAGUGUUCUACAAAGGAAGAGAAUGCUCCCUCCUGUUUCUUGCCUCUUCUGAACACUGGUGAAGCCAUGAGGCCUUAAGAACCUUGUCACAUUAAAGGUUAACCCUCCAGGAAUCUUCUGUUACACAUUUCUUCCCAAUAGCCCUGGGUUCUCAUGGUGUCCACUGGCGCCUAUUUACUGGGUUCUUCUGGGAGGGAUGGAGUGUUUGGCUUUUCCCCACGUGGCUUGACUGCUGGCAAUCACCUCUGUGUGCUUUUUUUUUUUUUUUUUUUUUUUUUUUUUUAUGGAGUCUUGCUCUGUAGUCCAGGCUGGAGUGCAGUGGCAUGAUCUCAGCUCACUGCAACCUCUGCCGCCUGGGUCCCGGUUCAAGCAAUUCUGCCUCAGCCUCCUGAGUAGCUGGGAUUACAGGCACGUGCCACCAUGCCCAGCUAAUUUUUGUAUUUUUAAUAGAGACAGGGUUUCACCAUGUUGGCCAGGCUGGUCUUGAACUCUUGAUCUCGUGAUCUGCUUGCCUCAGCUGCCAAAGUGCUGCGAUUAUAGGCAUGAGCCACCGCGCCUGGCCCUGUGUGCUCUUUAUUAUGGGAUGGCUUUUCCAGUCCACAGGGAGGAUCUUCCCUACAACUGACAGCAUAAGGCUGGGUUCAAGGGGUGAAAUGGACAGUGCUUUGGGACCUGGUGGCAGAAAAGCUAAUGUGAAACUGACAGAAGAGAAAUUUAUUUACCAACUCUCCAAUCUACACCUCCAACACAGACUUGCUUUUCUUUUAAAGGACCCAAGUUUGCUUCUUUUCAAAACAUUAAAAAUAUUUAGUCAGAGACAGUUCAGCCUCUCAGUGCUUCCUCUUUAGCAGAGAAGAUCCAGAAACACCUGUCACAGGCACAACCUAUGGAUUUAUUUAUUUAUUUAUUUAUUUAUUUAUUUAUUUAUUUAUUUAUUUAUUUGAGACAGAGUCUUGCACUGUUGCCCAGGCUGGAGUGCAGUGGCACGAUCUCGGCUCACUGCAAGCUCCGCCUCCUGGGUUCAUACCAUUCUCCUGCCUCAGCCUCCCAAGUAGCUGGGACUACAGGCGCCCGCCACCACGCCUGGCUCAUUUUUUUGUAUUUUUAGUAGAGGUGGGGUUUCACCGUGUUAGCCAGGAUGGUCUCAAUCUCCUGACCUCGUGAUCUGUCCACUUCGGCCUCCCAAAGUGCUGGGAUUACAGAUGUGAGCUACCACGCACUGCCAACCUAUGGAUUUAUAAAGGAAGAAAAAUAUGUAGCAGAUUGAUUAAAUUAUCUGACAGUGGAGGGGCAUGGCCAUAAAUGUUUUUGUUUCUCUAAUCAUUGCUGUCCAUUGUCCUGUGUUGAGCUUUUCUUUCCCAUUCUUUGAUGAUAUUUGGUCAGCUCCUGUGGCCUUCCAGUCACUUCCCAAUAUAGAAGGGACAGGUCCAGUCCAGAGCAGCGCAGGUUAAAGCUCCAGUCUCCUACACAAUUUAGCCCUUGUUUCAUCCUCUGCCUUAAGCACCUGCCAGAUUUUUCCCUUGAAGGGAACAUUGUCUUUACUGCCUGCCCCCCCGCCCCAGCUUGAUUCCUUAGGGUUGGGCAGUGGGGAGAAAGAGGAGGAGAGAGAUACAAUCUCUAACUUCCUGGUGGGGCUGCAGCCUUCUCUUUGUGACUGUCUCCUGUUCCCACCCAGAGAUGGGGGGCUGCAUGGAGGAGCUCUCAAAGCCCGUCUCUGUACACUCCCUGAUGUGGUUCUACUCAGGUCUGACCCUGGCCAGACCUCACUCAGCUCCCAACCCACUGCUUCUUGUUCUGCAGGUUUCUCCUUUCUAGGUGGCCAGACUUUCUGGGUGAGGUCCUGGCAAGAUGGUGCAAGUGCAGCUGCUUUCUGUGAUUGUCCAACUGGUCUGUAGGAGACUCUUGCAUUCUUAUCUCCUAAUGCUGCAAAAGCAGGCUGCUGCAGGGCCACCCCCUUGCAAGUUAUUCCUGCUCCUUCUCCAAUUCAUCCUCUCUUUCUCAGAGUCUUCCCUCCUCCCCUGCUUAAAUAGCCGUGCUUAAACAGACUCCAGCUAGGGAGCAAGAUGUCAAUCUCCGUUCUCAAAGCCACCUCCUAAACGCACAAGAGAUUCUCUUGAAGCCCCUACUCACAUGGCCUAGGGGAGUGAAGGGAUGGAGGUGAUCAGGAAAGCUACCUCUUCUACCAGAGAGGAAAAGCCACAGCACUCUCCCCUAUGACUUUCUAUUCUUAAUAUUCUCUUUUCUUUCUAAGUAUCAGAAAAGUUCAGCUUCCUCUGAAUUAGCCAAGGAAGCAGUGAUUGACCCCCUAGUUGUUUGUUUCUUGAUGCCCUUUGGUUCACAGUAGCCAUUUCUCAGGCAGCAAGAGAAGUGGCUGUCAACAUCCUGCUACAGACACAUGGUCAGUGAACAUUGCAAUAAGCGAUGAGCCUUGCUAACAAUCAGGGCUAUGCAAAUUAAGAGAGGAAGAGGAUGUUUUUCAGCCUAUCAAAUUGGUUUAAAAUAAAUGCAUUACGUGAUUAUAUCCGAGCUUAAUAAAUCUGUGUGUUUGUGUGUGUAUAAGUGCAUAGGUGUGUAUAUAAGUGUUUGGGUGUGUGUGUAAUUGUGUAGGUGUGUAAAUGUUGGGUGUGUGUGUAAGUGUGUAGGUGUGUGUAUGAGCAUUUGAGCUUAUGUGUGUAAGUGUGUGUGGAGUGUGUGUGUGCGUUUGGG